UGCUGCUGUUUGUCCUUCCUGAGGGCUGGCUGGGCUCCUGCCUGGGCUGAGCUGCCUUGUGCUUGUGGAAAAUGCUGCAUGAUUCCUCAAAUGAGGCAUGCUGAGGGCUGGAGCUCCAAAGCCAGGAGCAGAGGCUGCUGGAGGCAGUGGUGGCUUAAGCAGGAGGAGAGGUUUUGGAGAGGAUGGUGCUGAAGCAGAGCCUGAGCAAAGGAAGAGCUAAGCAAUGCCUGUGAAUGACUGGAGCUUUGUGCUGGGCAAUGGGUUGGAGAGGAUCUCUGCUGGACGUGUAGUCAUUACGGAGGUCAGUUUAUUUUAGAACUCGAGGCUGUAAACCAAAGCAGUUUAAUCUACUGACAGAUGUGAAUCAACACCCUGGAAGGGUGGGAAGCCGAGGGACUGGCUCUGUGCUUCCACCUCUGCUUCCAGGACCUUGUUUCUGCCCACAGAUGUGAUGGAGCCACCACCACAGUGUCCUACCAAGCACUGGGCUGCCAAAAGAUGCCCCACUGCUGCAU